AUGUGCAAGGAAAUGAUGCGGGGAGUAUCCAGCUAAGGGAUACUAAAUCACACAUUCACACACUCUCAUCAUGACCUCAGAUUAAACUGUAGGCUCUGACUGCAAGCCUGCUCCCACACAAACUGUAUACACCCAAUAAAUAAGACAGUGUGCGCGUGCAAAGAUUUUUUUGACGCUCGCAUCCUACCCUUGACAAGAAGAUACUCGUGGCCAAACACGUGCACCCCGCCCCCAUCCUACUCACGUGAAAGUACAACCUGUCGAGGGGCGUAGCUUCAGACAUUCAGCACGUGCGGAGAGCUGAAGCGGGCACGAGCCCAUCGUUCUAACGCCUGGCACGGGACCCAAAGGCGUUGCUGCACGUGGUCCUAUCGUAUGAACUCAGCACGCCAUCUAUUAUUUCCCACAACCGUCAUUUUUAAUGAAACAUCCCCCACAUCAAAUACUCGCAGCGGCCACAGCAAAGGAGAAAAUCUCACGUUUUUGUGCACGCGACACAGUAUUGCACGCGACAGUGCGCACGCGAACUCUCUUCGGCAGGAUGUUUGGGUUCAGGAACACAAUGUUCAAACCGCACAGCACCUAGUCUACACCACUAAUCGCUGUUUUCCCACAAGUUCACCACAGUAACCACGGUGUCUGCUGUAAGUGUCCCGGCAGAGAGGAAGCCAGUGAAAUCCCUGCAGCAGCAGCUUGAGCACAGGGAAGGGACUAAAGAGUAAGAGAUGUAGUCAGCAGAGAGGUUGCUGCCUAUAAACAGUUCAGAAGGACCCUUAACCGAGGCAGCAAACUCCAAAUUUCUUUGGUAGUACUUUACCAUGUAUUUUAAUUUCUUAAAACAUUUACUGUAAUCCAAUUUUUUUUCUUUAACUUGUGCACUUUGGCAAAUGAACAAACAUUUCUCUGUUGUAUAAAGUGUUAACUGGGUAAUCAGUUGUACCUAUUUCAUACUAACAGUAUGUAGGUUACUACAGUAUGCACUGAUCAGCCAUAACAUUAUCACCACCUGCUGGUCAUAAUGUAGCCGCCAAAACAUCCCUGACCCAUGGAGGCAUAGACUCCACUGAGUGUGCACAGUGUGUUCUGAAACCUUUCUGUCAGAACUAGCAUUGACUUUUUCAACAAUCACACCUACAGUAGCUUGUCUGUUGGAUCAGACCACACUGACCAGCUUUAGCUCCCCACAUGCAUCAAUGAAAGUGUCACCAGUUCACAUCUUUGCCUUCCUUGGACCACUUCUGGUAGGUACUGACCACUGCAGACCGUUUUGGAGAUGCUCUGACCCAGUCGUCUUACCAUCACAACUUGGCCCAUGUCAGAGUCGCUCCAUUCCGUACGCUUGCCCAUUUUUCUUGCUUCUAAAACAUCAACUAUGGGGACAAAAUGUUCACUUGCGGAAUACUAUAUCACACCUACUGACGUGCCAUGGUAACGAGAUAAUCAGUGUAAUUUACUUCACCUGUCAGUGGAUAUAAUGUUACAGCUGAUCGUGUAUAGUGAUACAUAGUGUUGGAGCAUACUUUUUUGCACUUAAUAAAUUAGAAAUCAGUGAACUUUACUGUUUUGUAUACAGGAAAUGAUAAAAUAUGUAAUGGCAUUUUAUUAAAGGGGGGCACAUUUUAUAAGGUAACUGAUUUAUCGUUAUGUUAAAAUAAAUAAUAAUACUAAGCAGAAAGAAAGAUGACUUUUUCUGUAAUUUGCACUAAUAUACUGCCAAAUAACAUGAAUUUGAUAUGACGCAAUAAAUAUCUCGUUGUCACUAG